CAGACCAGGAAGCGGCUGCGCUCACGUCACUCCCGCUCAGCCAAUCGGAACAUACGACGAAACAUCGUACCCGCCCACAAAGCAGCAAACGAGCCGGGUUUGGACGGAUGCGCUGACGUUUAGAAUUAAAAAAUAAUAAUAAUUACGAAUUAAAAGUGAAAAUUGUUGGGGCACACUCCCGGCGCAAAGACAGUAUAUCCCGACUGUCAGUUUUCCAUAUAAAUGAUGAAAUGGGAGCAAAGCACAUCUGUGUAAGUCAAGUAGGGUCUGCUCUAAAAUUCAAGCAAGUCGAGCACAGCACCAUCUGCUGGAUGUGGUGGGCCAAAAACGCCGAGACUUAGGGCAAGCAGUUUGCUGACAGACGCAAGACAAUUGGAAAAGAUCUGCCCAGUCGUUCUGAUUGCUCUCCUGUCCUUUCUUUUUCUUCCAAGUCAGCCGCCGGAGUCUGCACACACAUGUGCGUCCACCAAAAACCACAGAGUCAGUCCUUCACCACACGCAUUUCCCCAUUUCCUCUUGUGGAUGGAUAAAUCUAUCAUUUUGAUCUCAUAUUGCACAUGCACACCCUCAGCUAUGUCGUCAGUGGGUUGCAUGCAUAUUUAAUGCAUGUGCUCUCUGGCUACAUUUUGUCAUUUAAACACAUUUCCCACAGGAGGAAGAAUCCCUACCCAGAAACAUUAA